GACGAACGCUGGCGGCGUGCUUAACACGUGCAAGUCGAACGGAAAGGCCCUGCUUUUGUGGGGUGCUCGAGUGGCGAACGGGUGAGUAACACGUGAGUAACCUGCCCUUGACUUUGGGAUAACUUCAGGAAACUGGGGCUAAUACCGGAUAGGAGCUCCUGCUGCAUGGUGGGGGUUGGAAAGUUUCGGCGGUUGGGGAUGGACUCGCGGCUUGUCAGCUUGUUGGUGGGGUAGUGGCUUACCAAGGCUUUGACGGGUAGCCGGCCUGAGAGGGUGACCGGCCACAUUGGGACUGAGAUACGGCCCAGACUCCUACGGGAGGCAGCAGUGGGGAAUAUUGCACAAUGGGCGGAAGCCUGAUGCAGCAACGCCGCGUGCGGGAUGACGGCCUUCGGGUUGUAAACCGCUUUCGCCUGUGACGAAGCGUGAGUGACGGUAAUGGGUAAAGAAGCACCGGCUAACUACGUG
rnacentral:rRNA from 1 species